AAAGAACUCACUGAUUUUAAAGUCAAAUAAAGUUUGAACGAAUUAUAAAUUUUACAAUUGUUUUAUACAAAACUUAAAAAAAAAUGUAUUUAAAUCGUAACUAGGUUUAGUUAGUUUUUACUCAUCCUACUUAUCAUCCUAUAUAUGAUUUCCAAUAAUAAGAAACAACAAAUUGUGAGUUCAAAUUAUUUUAAAUUUGUUAAACACAAAUCGAUAAAUAAAUAAAACAAAUUUUCAAAUUUCUACCAAUUUAAUAGUUUAAAAUCAAUUGUAUUAUAUAUUCACGAAAUAUGGUCAUAUAUAAGUGUAAACUUUUUAAGUUAAUUAAAAACUAUACGAAUAUCCCGGACGUAGCCGAAAAAAUCUAUAGUUAAAUUAAUACUUAAUUAAUUUAAUUUCUCAUAGUAUAUUUUUAUCAAAAUUAAUCUAUAUUCUUCAUGAACUUAACAAAAUGAAUCUAUUAUUAUUAUGAAGCAUAUAAAACUUAUUAUUUGAUUAAAAUAUACUAUGCUAAUAUCUCUCUAAGUAUGUGUCUUAAUUCUGAGGUCAAUGUGUCCAAUGAAAGAUAAUUUCAACAGCUACUCAUCUAACACUACUAAAAGCCGAAUAAGAAGAGCAACGAGCGUGCCACGUAGGAUUUUUUGUUCAGGCCAAUCAUGAAGCUCUGUUUCGCCACGUCGACAAAAAAUAUAACAGGUCCAGUAAAUCUGGGCUGAACAAAAAAAAAUAGGCCUAUAUAGAACAGCCCAUAUCUUAUUCUACGCAGAAUGUUCGUCGCCUUCAACUCCGACUCUUCCAAUUCACUAUUCUAAUCUCUGCAAUCUCUCUGUAAUUAUUACACCACAAUCUUGCUCAUUCAAUUCUGAUAUUUUCUCCUAUCUUCAUUAGAGAUUAUCGUUCCACCUUCCUUUGUUUUUCCUAUUAUAUAAACCCCUUGAUGAUAUGAUAAGACAGGUCCGUUAACUAUUGUCAUUCCAGCCUGAGUUAUCUAAAAUAUGAACCCUCGACUCCAGAUUCAUAACACAAUGACAAUUUGUUGUUCUCUACAUUUGAAAGUCAGUCGUAGAACUCGGCCUCACGCUGGUGCUGAUCGUCUUCUCCGUCGUCGUUUUAGAAGCUUGGAGAAGGAGACACAGUAACGUUUCUGUCGACACCGUGACAACUACACUCGAGGGUCCGACAUCCUUAAAACAGGUACUGUCUGAAUUCAAUAUAUUUUUUUCUGGGAUUUUUCUGUUAGUGUGUUUACAGUUAAUGGAACUGAGAAAAGGUCUUACCUUUGAAUCCUAUUAGCCUAUAGAACGUUUAAAGACGAGAGCUUUGACAUUAUUAUUAUUAUUAUUAUUAUUAUUAUUUUGUAGGAGAGUCUGUCUAACGAUGUGUGUUGUUUAAGAAAUAAAAGAGUAAAGCAGACAGAUCGUGGAUGCGCAGCUGUAUGAUAAUAAUUUCAAGAGAGGAGCAAGCAAAAAGCUUCACUUGAGAAGGAAAUUCAUCAUACUGUCAGUAGAAAGAUAAGAAGAAAAGUUGAUGACGAGAUCAACAACAGAUUGAGUUUGGGAACACUUUUCUUCCAGCCUAACUUCCUGGUUACGGUUGAGCAGAUUCUUGAAGAUGCUCCCAAAGUCUUAGAUCUGCGAUUGGCUACUUUAUGAAAUCCAUUGAAGGGACAUGCUGGAUUAUCUAAUGAUGAUAAAGAAGAAAACGGAAGGACUCUAGAGGUACAUGAAAUUAUCAAUACCUUUUUGAUGUAUCUUAAUACGGGUCAUGAAUCGUCUGGACACACGCAUUAUUUGGGCUACCCCGUCAGAUACUACAGAAGAUAAAUGUAAAAUAAUAAUAUAUGUUUAUAUAAUCCUUUUGCAUUUAUUUUUACAAGCUUGAAUAGUAAUUUUCCUUAUACACAGGAUAACAAGAUGCGAUUGUUAAAAACUAAGCAGUGUACCAGAAAUUGAGUAAAAAACAGAGACGUACAAAUGUACAAUGACUUACUACUACCUUUCUCAGGUGCCUCAUUGCAAACAAGUUUAAGGCGUCUUAAAUUGGUAUGAUUCAUUACACAGUCUCUUACUGAAUAAAAAGAGGUUUUUUUAUGAGGUCAUUGAUGAGACACUUAUUAGAGUAAUAAUAUUCUCUAUGCCUUUUCCCUUCCAUGAAGCAAAAAGUGAUGGCCAAAUAAACGGCCAGUCUAUUCUAAUCGCGUACAUGGAACACAAUAAAUCAUCUUUAAACCCUUUUGUUUGUUCAUUUUUCAUGUUUAUGUAUUUAGCCAAUAUCAUACCAAAAGGCUGGAAGGUACUUCUCACUUUGUUCAGGUACGUUCACCUAGAACAUGAGAUUUACCUGAAACCAAAGAAAUAUGAAACUUCAAGAUGAUAGGUAUGUAGAUAUAACAGAUUUGUGGCGCAUUCAACAAUUAAACUGUCUUUGUAAUUUGUAGUUGGUGUUGUAAAAGAGUAACUAAACAACAUGGUCAAGUUCAUUCUACAUGGAUACAUGCCACAACAAGGUUCAUUCCUUCCUUUUCAUUUAGGAAGCGAUCUUUGUCCGGGAAAGAUCUUGCCAAGCUCUAGAUUUCCAUUUUCCUUCAUCUUGACAACUGAAGAUGGGUUUAGCUACUGUAGCUUUCAAGCUGUGGGUUAUGACUUCAACACUAUCCAGCUGGUGAGAAGGGUUCUGUCUUGCUUUGAUCCCAAUAAAUUCUUUGUAGGGUGUCGCAGUGAACGCGUACCAGCCGGAAAUUAGUGUAUACUUGGAAGAUUAUGGGUGCAGAGAGAAUGGACCAGUGAAUAGUGAUGUAUCAUACGUUUGAAAACCUUGGCAUGUAGUGUGCGUCGCCUAGACCUACCUUGAAGUGGGACUGGAGCAGGCUGAGCAGCAAUAACAAAAGGACACGAGGGAAUCUAGCAGAACUUUAUCUGAACUCUUUUCGAGCUUUCUGUUUUUGCAUUUUUUUUUAAGUAAUGACUAAUUAUUUGUGAAGUUAAGGUAUUCCUUUCAAAAUCAUGUGUGUUGUACAAAUUUGCUUUAAUAUACAGCUUUGUACAUUACUUAUCUGUGUCUUUUCUUUGAUUGUCGAGGAUUGAAUGAAAAAAAAAAACAAAAUACUUGAAUCAUACCGCAGCGAUAUUAAUCCUCAAGUUCAGAAUCUGCCAUAUCAUACAAACUUGAGUUUCCUAUUAAUUGUUAAACUGGAAUAUCAAAUAUCUUACCUCAAUUCAUAUCUAACUAAAUAAAUUUUUAAACUGAAUAGUGUACUUAGGAUAUUGAAAUUUGAAAACUAAUCAUAUUCAUCAAUAAUAUUACUUAUAAAAUAUUAAAGAAAUAUACAUUAACCAUUUGUAAGUAUGCAUUCCUCUAUUAAUAAAUUAGAAAUAAGUGUUUAUGGACUUAGUUGUUUUUUUUAACGCUGAUUUAUUACGAUCUUACAAUUAUGAUAUAGGAAAGAUUACAUAGACGAUUCGACUACCUACCUUAUGAAGACCUACCAUUUGUAGUUAGGCACUUGGUUGUUAUGUUUGGCUUAACAACAAUGUGAACUUAGGAUUGCUAACCAAAAAAAUAAGAGAGAAGCGUUGAUUGGUUUUACCCUUUUUCUAUUGGUUUUACAAAAAAAACAUAUUAGGUCUAUGUAAAAUUCAAAUAUAUCUUCUCGAAAACAAGUUAAACUCGCUAAACUCUCACUAAAAAGAAAAUAUUAUGAGAACGAAAAAAUACAAGUCAGAAUUUCCAAUUUAUUAUUCACAGCCUAUAUGUAUUUCACUAUUUCAAACAAUUUUUUUUUUAAAAUAUAUGAAUUAACAAAAAAUAUUUACAUUAGUUGACCACAUACAUUAUAUUUUAAAAACUAAUCAAAAUAAUGCAGUGAAAUUAGUAACAGCCAUAACUCCGUUAACAAGAUUUUAAUUCGACGAAUAUCAUCCCAUAUUUGGAGUCAUGAGAGGUAAUGAUCGGAAAAAAUAAUAACAGACUAUAUUACUCUUCUUUACUGUCUUAAUUAUCAAAUUAUUUUUUUCCAGUAAAACUAUUAUAUGAUAUCAACAUAUAUGCUGUGCAGAGUAAAGAUUCAUCCUUUUAAUUUACUGGAAGAAACCAACACAAAUAAUUUAGUUAAAAUUUAUUAAAAGAUAACUAAUAAUUAUUUAUAUAAAAUAAAUAUAAGCUCAAGCAAAUCAACUUAUAUACUAAUACAAUGAAAAUUAGCAAAAUUUAAAUAAACGAACCAUGCGCACACCACUACUUUACCAUACAUAUGGUGUAACUUUUGUUUGGCUUACAGAUGUACAUACAUUAUUAAAUAUAUAAAUGUGAAAACUAACAAAUUAAAAAUGUAAUACAUUAUGAUUAAUACAUCUUAUUUAUAGGGAAGCUAAUGUUUGCUUCAUCAUCGGUCAUCGGUGACACAAUUUUACUUUGGCAACACAAUACAAAUCAUUAGAGACUUCAGAAGCAUGAUAAGAGUCAAGUUUAAUGCAUGAGUUUGGACAAAACAACACCAAACUCAGAGGAUGAUCUUCAAGAAAACUUAACUAAAAUCAACAUUUCAAAUCUUCCAGACUGUCUAAUAAUUUAGAUAGCAUAAUCAGUCUAAGUAUAAAAUAUAUAUAUUCAAAUAUGAAUUCUAAAAUAAUAUAAAUUUAAUUUAAAUAUAUGGGAAAAAAUCCGGACGUAGCCCGGGAAAAUCUCUAGUGGAUAUAAAAGUUACACAAUUCCGAUCUAUAUUGAAAAAUACUAGGUAAAGAACCCGUGCGAUAUUAAUUAUCAACUGAAACCCGACAUUGGUUUAAAAUGAAAAAAUUAAACCGGACAAAAAGAUACAAAAAUUAACUGAAAUCGAAAAGAAUAUCCUAAACCUAAACACUGCUUUGACCGUCCAAAAUAAAGAAUUAAUAUUGCAGUUUUCAUGCUAAAUUGUCGAAAUGCAGUUUUAAGUGAAUUUAUAUAUAUAUAUAUAUAUAUAUAUAUAAUAUUAUAUUAUUUAGCAUGAAAAGAAUAUUCUUUGGAUGAUAAGAGACACAUCAUUACAUAUUUUUACAAUCUCUUAACACAUUAUAUUUUGGAUGAAAAGAUGCAAUUAUGAAAAUACAUAUUCUUAAAUAUGUAUAUAUAUAAAUAUAUAUUGCAAACGAAUUUUUUUUAAGAAAGUGAUAUAACUCUUCAAAACAUUUUUUCUGUAAGGUUGAAUUUUUUAAAAACAGUACAGUAUAAAAAUUAUGAUAAUUUGGUGGUGAAAAAAAUUAUGAUAAUUUGGUGGUGAAAAAAAUUAUAAACAACACACAAUCUAUAUAGAGUUAAAAGACAUAAGAGCAAAAAUAUGCCACUUUAUAACAAAAGGAGAAACAAGACGAUACAAUAAACAAGUAUGAGAGGAACAUUAUAACGAAAAGACCCACCCGUAAAAAUUAAUUAGGUUUGCUAUUCGUAGGAAAAUAAAAAUUGAAUUUAACACUGGAAUUUAUUCUUAAUCUUUAAUCUAGUGGCUCAGAUUUUAUUUAGAAUCAUGAAUAUGACAUCAUACACUACAAGAAAACAUUUUUUUUUACUAGGGCAGUAUUCGUUGUAAAUUCGUCGUAAACGGUGUGUUACGACGAAUUAACGUCGAAAGACGUUUCGUUGUUAAACGUCCGUCGUAACGGAGGUUUCGUCGUAAACGACUCCUUACGUUUACGACGAAAUAUAUUCCUCGUAAAGCGCAGGGAAAGGAUUCGUCGUAAACGACACGUAAGCUUUCGUCGUAAAGCCCACGUAAUUAAAACGAUGUAAAGCAUACGUAAAUACAUUCGUUGUAAAUCACUCGUAAACAUUUCGAUGUAAAACCCUCGUAAAUGUUUCGAUGUUAAUCACUCGUAAACAUUCGAUGUAAACUCUAUGUAAUGUUUACGAGGAGUUUACAUCGUUUCUUAUUAUAUUAUUAUUAAUUACUAUAUAAUAAAUUUUAAUUUAUAUUUAAUAUUCAGAAUUUAAAAUAAUUUAAAUUUUAAAAUGAAAAAAGAAAUUGGAAAA